rnacentral:tRNA from 1 species
GGAAGUGUGGCCGAGCGGGUUGAAGGCACCGGUCUUGAAAACCGGCGACCCGAAAGGGUUCCAGAGUUCGAAUCUCUGCGCUUCCGCCA